AAAGCAUAAAGUCCUGCAUACUGCAAAUUCAUCUAAUCUAGGCCAAAGCCUAAAGAAACGCAGCCACUUCUAAAACCUCAGACCAUCAUGAUGAUUUCCAGCCAUGAACCGUCUCCACAGAACCUGCCAGACAAACAUUUUAGGCUAUGCCCUUUUUCAGCACCUAUAGUACCCCAAACAAUAAUAAUAACCCCCCUUGGUGUCUCACACAGUAGAUUGGGUAGAUAAGUGGGUUGGGAAAGAGUAGGUAUGCCCCCUCAUGAAGUAGACAGGUCCCUUUACCUAGUUCUCCCCAUUACACAGGUGCCUCGAAUAGGUAGGUGCCACCUGUAGGUAGGCCCCCCUGUAGAUAUUGUAGUUGCCCCCUUUAGAUAGUUAUUCCCUGUAGGUGUAGCCCCCUGUAUAUAGUUGCAGCCCAUCCAUAUAUAGGAAUAGCAGUUCCCCUUUUGAUAUUUGUAGUGCAGCAGCCCCCUUUCUGUAGUUGUAGUGGCAGCCCCCUUUCUGUAGCUGUAGUGCAGCAGCCCCCUUUAGGUAGUUGUAGUGCAGCAACCACCUCAAGAAACUUGUAGUGCAGUAGCCCCCCUUUAGGUAGUUGUAGUGCAGCAGCAAUGUCGGGCACGGCCUGGGUGCCCAACAUUUCAGUCUGCUCCUGGAUUUAAGAGAAAUACAUAUUAGGUAGAUAGAUACAGUGGCGUAGCUAUGGAGGUCGAAAAGGUCCCCAUUGCGACCGGGCCCCAUAGAAGGGGGGCCUGCUCCUAAUGCCUGCAGCAAUGGCCGUGCUGUGGUGCUGCGCUCCCUAGCCAUGAGUGCAGAGUGCAGCGCUGCCUCCGCCGGGACCCAGACACCAGCAGUCCUCGGUGCUGAUCUUAAUGGCGGCCACAGGUCAGUCUAGUGUGCCAUGUAUUCAAGAUGGGAGAAGACUUGCACACGCCGAAGCUUUUUCUGGAAAUUGUUUGUAACUUGGUAAUAUUUUGAAUUAAUAAAGUAUAAAUAUGCCAACAUAAUAUGAUUUG